AUUCCAAGUGUAGCGGUGAAAUGCGUAGAUAUUUGGAGGAACACCAGUGGCGAAGGCGGCAUACUAGAUCGAUACUGACGCUCAGUCACGAAAGCGUGGGGAGCAAAUAGGAUUAGAUACCCUAGUAGUCCACGCUGUAAACGUUGAGAACUAAGUGUCGGGGAGACCCGGUGCUGAAGCUAACGCAUUAAGUUCUCCGCCUGAGGAGUACGCACGCAAGUGUGAAACUUAAAGGAAUUGACGGGGGCCCGCACAAGCAGUGGAGCAUGUGGUUUAAUUCGAUGCUACGCGAAGAACCUUACCAGGACUUGACAUGCCGCUAAAGACCUUAGAAAUAAGGGGAUAGUUAUAGCGGACACAGGUGGUGCAUGGUUGUCGUCAGCUCGUGUCGUGAGAUGUUCGGUUAAGUCCGGCAACGAGCGCAACCCUUGUCCUUAGUUGCCAGCAUUAAGUUGGGGACUCUAAGGAGACCGCCGGUGUAAACCGGAGGAAGGUGGGGAUGACGUCAAAUCAUCAUGCCCUUUAUGUCCUGGGCGACACACGUGCUACAAUGGCCGUUACAAAGAGCAGCAAAACCGCGAGGUCAAGCAAAUCUCAUAAAGACGGUCUCAGUUCGGAUUGGAGUCUGCAACUCGACUCCAUGAAGUCGGAGUUGCUAGUAAUCGUAGAUCAGCCAUGCUACGGUGAAUACGUUCCCGGGCCUUGUACACACCGCCCGUCAAACCAUGAAAGCUGGUAAUACUCGAAGUCGGUAUCCUAACUUUGCAAAAAGAGGGAGCCGCCCAAGGUAGGAUCAGUAAUUGGGGUUAAGUCGUAACAAGGUAACCCGAAAGGGCGAAUCGUAACUCGC
rnacentral:rRNA from 1 species